GACUGCGGAUGGAGGGCCGCUUUUCCCGCGAGGGAGGAGAGGAACUUCCGAACUUCACAAGGCAGGGUGCCGGUUCAAAGCCCUUCCGCUUUUUCCGUAAGGAAAAAGGAGGGGCCAUAAGCCGGGAGGCGGGGGCCAUAUCCCUCGUCGACGGAUAGCGCCACAGAGAACAUACCGCCCCUCACUUGGGCCGGGCUUGCCCGGGAAAAGUGAGUGGUAAGGGUGAAAAGGUGCGGUAAGAGCGCACCGCCCGCCGGGCGACCGGCGGGGCAGGGCAAGCCCCUCCUGAAGCAAGGCCAAAAUUGCGCCAGCAGAUUGCCCGUCUCGGCGUCCGCUCGCGGACGCCGGCGCAGAGUGGGCCGCAAUAGAUAAAUGGUCCUCCAGCCCCCACAUGCAGCAUGUGUGGGGGGGGACAGAAUUCGGGGUAUAGUCCGCAGUCUGAA
rnacentral:RNase_P_RNA from 1 species